rnacentral:rRNA from 1 species
AGCGAACGCUGGCGGCAGGCUUAACACAUGCAAGUCGAACGCAUCCUUCGGGGUGAGUGGCAGACGGGUGAGUAACACGUGGGAACGUACCUUUUUGUUCGGAAUAACUCAGGGAAACUUGAGCUAAUACCGGAUACGCCCUUAGGGGGAAAGAUUGAUCACAGAAAGAUCGGCCCGCGUCUGAUUAGCUAGUUGGUGAGGUAAAGGCUCACCAAGGCGACGAUCAGUAGCUGGUCUGAGAGGAUGAUCAGCCACACUGGGACUGAGACACGGCCCAGACUCCUACGGGAGGCAGCAGUGGGGAAUAUUGGACAAUGGGCGCAAGCCUGAUCCAGCCAUGCCGCGUGAGUGAUGAAGGCCCUAGGGUUGUAAAGCUCUUUCGGCGGGGACGAUAAUGACGGUACCCGCAGAAGAAGCCCCGGCUAACUUCGUGCCAGCCGCCGCAGUAA